GUUGCAGUGUGCUGAGAUCGUGCCACUGACUGUACUCCAGCCUGGGCAACAGAAUAAGACUGUCUCAAAAAAGAGAAAAAAAGAGGACUUCUCAUUGCCUUUACCACAGAGUACUGAACAAGGUCCUUGGUGAUACGACCUCUUUCCCCUCUGCAGUCCAGUCUUUUCGACACUCCACCCUGCUUUAUGUUCCGACAAACUCAAUUGUGAUUUGUCUAAAGACACUGGCAUGUGUCUCCUCUUCUACCUGCCCUCUUUCUCUCUGUUCAGCAAGCAGAGAGAAAUUCUGGUCCGAGAUUCAAAUUCCCAUGCAUUCAUAAUGUGUCCAUAAUUGGCUCCUUCUGGUGGGUUCUUGGUCUCACUGACUUCAAGAAUGAAGCCACGGACCCUCGCAGUGAGUGUUACAGUUCUUAAACAUGGUGUGUCCAGAGUUUUUUCCUUCAGAUGUUCAGACGUGUCCAGAGUUUCUUCUUUCCGGUGGGUUCUUGGUCUCACUGACUUCAAAAGUGAAGCUGCAGACCUUCGCAGCAAGUGUUACAGCUCUUGAAGGUGGCACUUCCCGAGUUGUUUGGUCCUCUCAGUGGGUUUUCUGGUCUCGCUGACUUCAGGAAUGAAGCUGCAGACCCUCAUGGUGAGUGUUACAGCUCAUAGAGGUAGUACGGACCCAAAGAGUGAGCAGCAGCAAGAGUUAUUGUGAAGAGCAAAAGAACAAAGCUUCCACAUCCUGGAAAGGGACCCAAGCGGGUUGCCAGUGCUGGCUUGGGUGGCCAGCUUUUAUUCCCUUAUGUGGCCUGCCCACGUCCUGCUGAUUGGUCCAUUUUACAGAGUGCUGAUUGGUCCAUUUUUACAGAGUGCUGAUUGGUGUGUUUACAAACCUUUAGCUGGACACAGAGCGCUGAUUGGUGCGAUUUUACAGAGUACUGAUUGGUGCGUUUACAAACCUUUAACUAGACACAGAGUGCUGAUUGGUGCGUUUUUACAGAGUGCUGAUUGGUGCCUUUACGAACCUUUAGCUAGACAGAAAAGUUCUCCAACUCCCCACCUGACCCAGAAGCCCUGCCUGCUUCACCUCUCAAAUAAGACCCCAGCAUCAUGAGGAUUUCUUCCAGGAAACAUCCCUGACCCCAAAUCUGGGGUAGGCACCCGUCUUGAGCCUCUAACUCUCCCUGCCACAUUGACCUGGUGGUUUGCUCAUCCGACUUCCUUCCCAGUCCAUGAUCUGUUUCUCUACUCCCAGGACACACAGCCUGGCUUUCAGGAGCUACUUUGGUUGUUCAUGAGUUGAACUGGAUUAGAUGAAAGGUUCACGUCAAAUAGCUUGGCAAACAUUUGCAGAGGCUCAAAGAUGGGAAAAUUGUGUGAGGUGAUUUUAGAAUCCACGUAAUAGUACAGUGUGAGCCUUGUGAAUCACAGGGAAAAGGUAACUGAAAAUACAGCAGGGCUUGACUUGUGCAACUUGACUCUGAAGAAACCAGCCAAUAUUGGAACUGUGGGUCUCAGGUUUAACCUUAUUCUGAGUCAAACAUUUGAGAACCUGAUGAGGGCUAUGGGACCCAUAUGACCUAAAAAAUGACCAUAUGAACAAAAAGAUAUAAAGACAACAUCUUGCAAAUUAUUUCAGGGGCAGUUUAGAGACUCCCUGAAGCCAGCGGACCCCAUGUUAAGAACUUUGACAUCAGAGGAGAUCCCGUGGGGAUAACGCUAUAACUGCCUGCGGUACAGGAUGGAUUACAUCAAGCCCUUGGGCUGUUUCUUGAACACAGUUGUUGGAACACAACUACGCCAGUUCAUUUCUGUAUUGCCUCUGCUUGCUUUUGAGCUCUAAAUGCAGAGCUGAGUAGUUAUAGCAGAGACCUUCCGACCUGCAAAGCCUGACCUGUUUCCUGCCUGGCCAAUUACAUUUAUUAAAACCAUCGAAAUAGCAAAGAACAAAUUAGGAGAGACAGAAGGUAUAAUGGUGGUUGCUAGGCCUAGGUUGGGGGAUAGGAAUUUGAAUUUAAGAGAUACACAGUUUAAAUUUGGGAAGAUGAAGCAAGUUCUGGAGAUAAAUGGUGGUGAUGGUUGCAUAGCAGUGUGAAUGUACUUAAUGCUGCUGAGUUGUAUAAUUAAAAAUGGCUAAAACUGUAUAUUUUAUAUAUGCAUGUUGUACCACAAUAAGGUAGGGAAAAAAAAAAAAAAAGGCCGGGCACGAUGGCUCACGCCUGUAAUCCCAGCACUUCGGGAGACUGAGGUGGGCGGAUCACCUGAGGUCAGGAGUUUGAGACCAGGCUGGCCAACAUGGCAAAACCCCAUCUCUACUACAAAUACAGAAAAAGUAGCUGGGCAUGGUGGCGGGAGCCUGUAAUCUCAGCUACUUGGGAGGCUGAGGCAAGAGAAUUGCUUGAACCCUGGAGCUGGGUGACAGAGCAGGACUCCGUCUCAGAAAAAAAAAAAAAAAUUAGCUGGGUCUGGUGGUGCAUGCCUGUAAUCCCAGCUGCUUGGGAGGCUGAGGCAGGAGAAUCGCUUGAACCCAGGAGGUGGAGGUUGCAGUGAGCCAAGAUCGUGCCAGUGCAUUCCAGCCUGGGCGACAGAGUGAGACUCCGUCUGCAAAGAAAAAAAAGAAAAAUUAACAAAAAAA
rnacentral:lncRNA from 10 species